rnacentral:rRNA from 1 species
CCUACGGGGGGCAGCAGUGGGGAAUAUUGCACAAUGGGGGAAACCCUGAUGCAGCGACGCCGCGUGAGUGAAGAAGUAUUUCGGUACGUAAAGCUCUAUCAGCAGGGAAGAAAAUGACGGUACCUGACUAAGAAGCCCCGGCUAACUACGUGCCAGCAGCCGCGGUAAUACGUAGGGGGCAAGCGUUAUCCGGAUUUACUGGGUGUAAAGGGAGCGUAGACGGCAGCGCAAGUCUGGAGUGAAAUCCCAUGGCUUAACCAUGGAACUGCUUUCGAAACUGUGCAGCUAGAGUGCAGGAGAGGUAAGCGGAAUUCCUAGUGUAGCGGUGAAAUGCGUAGAUAUUAGGAGGAACACCAGUGGCGAAGGCGGCUUACUGGACUGUAACUGACGUUGAGGCUCGAAAGCGUGGGGAGCAAACAGGAUUAGAUACCCCGGUAGUC